rnacentral:lncRNA from 1 species
GGGGGGACGGUGGGGGGGGCGGGGACCAGGGGAGGCAAUGGAUGAGCAAGGGAGAAGAGCCCGAGGGGCUGGCGCUGUUUCCCCGGGCUCCUCUGCGGCGAGCUUGUGACGGAGGCUGCGGCGAACUGCGCGGCCCCGAGCUUGAGCCCUUGGGCUUCGCACGGUGAAUUGUAGGGAUUUCCCAGGCUAAAGCAGGAGAGAAGGGGGAGGAAGAGAAUGGGGGCUCGUACACUUGGAGAGAUAGAGAAAGUUCAUGCGUGGUGGGGAAAGGUGUUUGCGGGAGAGCCCCGGCCUCACACUGGCGAGUUGAGCGCGUGCGUCUGGGGGGUGGCGUGGCGGGAGAGAUUUUGUGCUCUCGACUCCUGGCGACGUGCCGGGAGAGACUGCGCUGGCCCCAGGAAUCCCCUAGAAGAUCCGGGUCGUCACAGACAGGAUGUCAGAGGAGUCCGGGGACUGCUCCCGGGCGCGGAGGAGCUCCCUCUGCGGGAAAAGUAGACGUGGCUGAAGCCUGUGCCCGCUGCCCUGCUCCACCUCCUUUGCGCCUCCUCCGACCGGGUCCACCUGCGGCCAGCUCCCUCACCUCAAUUCCACUCUCUGGGGCCGGUCCCUUCUGGCCCUCUAGAAUCCAUUCCCGCUCCUUUCUGUGUGAUGUCCUCCUCCCGAACCCGCUGGGUCCGCGCGGUUCACGCCCCGCCUCUGGCUCCUCCCGGUGCGAGCUGCUUUCGAGGAGUCCAGGAGGCCUUACCCUGCCUCGGGCCGCCCCGGGUCUCCUUGGCCGGCGUCCUUUAAAGUUUCGAGCUAGGUGAAAGAGGAUGCGCUUCAAUGUGAAACAUGCAUCUCGGUUCUCUUUCCCGCCCUGAGAACUCUCGUGGCUCGGACCUGCUUCCUGCGACGCUCUCCAUCCUUCCGGCGGUGUGGGGGUACAGCGGAGUCCUCUGUCGUACGACUUUAGGAUGGGUCAGGCGGCGG